UAAGACGAACCGUGCGAACGUUGUUCGGAUUCACUGGGCUUAAAGGGCGCGUAGGCGGCGUGACCAGUCGGGGGUGAAAGCCCACAGCUUAACUGUGGAAGUGCCUCCGAUACUGUCAUGCUCGAGGGAGGUAGGGGCAGAGGGAACUUCCGGUGGAGCGGUGAAAUGCGUUGAUAUCGGAAGGAACGCCGGUGGCGAAAGCGCUCUGCUGGACCUCUUCUGACGCUGAGGCGCGAAAGCCAGGGGAGCAAACGGGAUUAGAUACCCCGGUAGUCCUGGCCCUAAACGAUGGGUACUAGCUUGUGGACUGGUCAUGGGUUCACAGGCGAAGCAAAAGUGUUAAGUACCCCGCCUGGGGAGUAUGGUCGCAAGGCUG
rnacentral:rRNA from 1 species